rnacentral:sRNA from 1 species
UCGCAAGAUAUAUCUUGCCUAAAGGUCAC